rnacentral:rRNA from 1 species
GACGAACGCUGGCGGCGUGCUUAACACAUGCAAGUCGUACGGAAAGGCCCUGCUUGCAGGGUACUCGAGUGGCGAACGGGUGAGUAACACGUGGGUGAUCUGCCCUGCACUUCGGGAUAAGCCUGGGAAACUGGGUCUAAUACCGGAUAGGACCAUCGUUUAGUGUCGGUGGUGGAAAGUUUUUCGGUGCAGGAUGAGCUUGCGGCCUAUCAGCUUGUUGGUGGGGUAAUGGCCUACCAAGGCGUCGACGGGUAGCCGGCCUGAGAGGGUGGACGGCCACAUUGGGACUGAGACACGGCCCAGACUCCUACGGGAGGCAGCAGUGGGGAAUAUUGCACAAUGGGCGCAAGCCUGAUGCAGCGACGCCGCGUGGGGGAUGAAGGCCUUCGGGUUGUAAACUCCUUUCAACCAUGACGAAGCAUUAUGUGACGGUAGUGGUAGAAGAAGCACCGGCUAACUACGUGCCAGCCGCCGCAGUAACAC